GACGAACGCUGGCGGCGUGCUUAACACAUGCAAGUCGAGCGGAAAGGCCUCUUCGGGGGUACUCGAGCGGCGAACGGGUGAGUAACACGUGAGUAAUCUGCCCUUCACUCUGGGAUAGCCACCGGAAACGGUGAUUAAUACCGGAUACGACACGUCCAGGCAUCUGGUGCGUGUGGAAACUUUUUGGGUGGGGGAUGUGCUCGCGGCCUAUCAGCUUGUUGGUGGGGUAAUGGCCUACCAAGGCUUCGACGGGUAGCCGGCCUGAGGGGGUGACCGGCCACACUGGGACUGAGACACGGCCCAGACUCCUACGGGGGGCAGCAGUGGGGAAUAUUGGACAAUGGGCGGAAGCCUGAUCCAGCAACGCCGCGUGAGGGAUGACGGCCUUCGGGUUGUAAACCUCUUUCAGCACCGACGAAGCGAUCCUUUGGGGAGUGACGGUAGGUGCAGAAGAAGGACCGGCCAACUACGUGCCAGCAGCCGCGGUAAUAC
rnacentral:rRNA from 1 species